ACACUCAAUGUCUCUGUGCUUCUUGCAUUCUGUUUCGCAAGAUUUGUGCUCUAGAUUAGUACUAACUUUAUUUAUAUUAAGUUAUAUUUUUGACAAACAUAAUAAAACCAGUUUAAUGCAGGUCAGUUUUCUGUUAGGGAACAAGCUUGAUAUGGGUCAUAAAUAGUUCAAGCACAUGGUAGCAUUCAGAAGAGGAUUCAUCUCCCCUCAGAAGAAAUAUCUCUGAGUGUGCUCCCUCUGCCAAAUAGGGCAUCAGGAUGGUGAGCUGCUCUAUUCUUAGACAGAAACCUUCUCUUGUUCCAAGGAGCAGCUCCGCCUCUUCUGUUGUCGGUCCUGAUUUAUAAGAAUCGCAGAGCCUCAGCACUGGUUUGGCACAAGACUUCCUGAGCAGGACAUUUAACUCCCAUAAUAGAACCAGUACCCAGGGCUGCUCACAACUCUGAGAUUUAACGAAGACGAUGGUCUUCAAAUGGUUUUACUAGAAGAAGCGUCCCCUUACCCCCACAUGGAAUAUACCUGUUGUGUUUCUCUGAGGCCUCAAGCUGCCUUUCUGAGGAGCAAAAUUAUAAAUCCAGUGGGAGACAAGUCAGGUGAGAUGCUGCAAGACUGUGACUCAUAGUAAGAAACUCAGAUGCUUCAGCACCAUUUCAGCCAACAAUGUAAAUAAAGCAGAUGUGUUUUGAUCUCUAA